UACGAAGGGGGCAAGCGUUGUUCGGAAUUACUGGGCGUAAAGGGCGCGUAGGCGGCUUAUCAAGUCAGGCGUGAAAUUCCCGGGCUCAACCUGGGGGCUGCGCUUGAUACUGAUUGGCUUGAAUGCGGGAGAGGAUAGUGGAAUUCCCAGUGUAGAGGUGAAAUUCGUAGAUAUCAGGAGGAACACCGAUGGCGAAGGCAGGUCUCUGGGCUGACACUGACGCUCAUGCACGAAAGCGUGGGGAGCAAACAGG
rnacentral:rRNA from 1 species